rnacentral:rRNA from 1 species
UAGAUGCGUGAGACAGGUUGGUCUCCUAUCUACUGCACUCGUUGAUUCUUGAAAAGAUUUGCGCUUAGUAAACCCGCAAGGGUUCUUGCUACUUCCUAUAGAAAUAUAGGAUGACAAUGUGGCUAAUAACGGUGGAGUCUUCAUGUAUGUUUCUUGUUCAAUGAAAAACAAUAUCGAACGGUCUUUGAUGUUGUAGUUCGCUUGAGGACCAGAAAUGUGAUAAGAUAAUACCGUGGGAAGUCGAUCUAAAAUUAGAAAAGAAACUGACGGAGCUUAUAUUGCCGGUUUUCUUGAUGGAGAUGGUAGUCUGAUGCUUCAGAUUAAAAAACGAAGUGACAGUAAACGAGCAAUUCGUUUUAUGACUACGAUUUGUUUUUAUCAAGAUACUAGGCAUGAAAAGACUUUAUAUUGGAUAAAAGAAGUUUUAGGUAUUGGUUAUAUUUCCCAUAGAAAUGAUGGGAUGACUGAACUACGAAUAAACGGCUAUAAACAGAUAAGGAAUAUUCUUACAAGUUUAUUACCUUAUAUUCGAUUCAAAAAACUUCAAACUCGUGCGCUUUUAAAAGCGUGUGAAAUAUUAUCUCAUACAAAGUUCAGUAAGCUAAUAAAAAAGCAAUUAGCUAAACUUGUUGAUCUCAUUUUAAUUAUUCAGAGUGAAAAUUAUGUUACAAAAAAGAAGAAAACAAGAAGUGAAUUGUAUAAAAUUUUAGGUUUGACCCCGUAACGACUUGUUUCCGAACUGUGUGUCGGAACAGACUUGCAUGACGCUGGAAAGUCUCUAACAAUUAGAGACAGGCUUAUGCUUGUAAUACGCCAACGCCUUCACUUUAAUUUUAUUAAAGACAGGCGAAGAUAUAGUCUGCACUCCUAGAAAUAGGGGAUAUAAUGUGACGAGAGGACCGGCGUGAACUGACCUCUGGUGUGUGAGCUGUCCUGCCAAGGGCACUGCUCAGUAGCUAUGUCGGGAAUGGAUAACCUCUGAAAGCAUCUAAGAGGGAAGCCAGCUUUAAGAUUAGGAAUCGUUAAGAACCGUGAGAGAUGAUCACGUUGAUAGGCUUUAAGUGUAAGCGUAGCAAUACGCUCAGCUGAGAAGUACUAAUGUUUCGAUUCCUGUUAAGAA